rnacentral:pre_miRNA from 1 species
GUGGGUGCGGCUCGGGGGGCGGAGGGUCGCGCCCCGGGCCCGGUGAGCCCAGGGGGCAUCCAGGCCGACCGAGCCCCUGUGCCGCCCCCAG